rnacentral:sRNA from 1 species
ACCACCCGGGGCCAUGGACGGAGCAGUGAUGGAAGGGCCGCUCUUUUUGCAGAGUCAGCGCUUUGGGACCAAGAGGUGGAGGAAGACCUGGGCCGUGCUCUACCCGGCCAGUCCCCACGGCGUAGCUCGGCUCGAGUUCUUUGACCAUAAGGGGUCGAGCUCUGGGGGUGGCCGAGGGAGCUCGCGCCGCCUGGACUGCAAGGAUCCCAAUUCUGGGUAACGGUGCAGAGGACUGAGGCCGCCGAGCGCUGUGGCCUGCAUGGCUCCUACGUGCUGAGGGUGGAGGCUGAGAGGCUGACUCUCCUGACCGUGGGGGCCCAGAGUCAGAUACUGGAGCCACUCCUGUCCUGGCCCUACACUCUGUUGCGUCGCUAUGGCCGGGACAAGGUCAUGUUCUCUUUUGAGGCCGGCCGCCGCUGCCCCUCAGGCCCUGGAACCUUCACCUUCCAGACGGCACAGGGAAAUGACAUCUUCCAGGCAGUUGAGACUGCCAUCCACCGGCAGAAGGCCCAGGGAAAGGCCGGACAGGGGCACGAUGUUCUCAGAGCUGACUCCCAUGAAGGGGAGGUGGCAGAGGGGAAGUUGCCUUCCACACCUGGCCCCCAAGAGCUCCUCGACAGUCCCCCAGCCCUGUAUGCUGAGCCCUUAGACUCCCUGCGCAUUGCUCCAUGCCCUUCCCAGGAUUCCCUAUACUCAGACCCCUUGGACAGCACCCCUGCUCGGGCAGGAGAGGGAGUACAACGGAAGAAACCUCUCUAUUGGGACUUGUAUGCGCAUGCGCAGCAGCAGUUGCUGAAGGCCAAGCUGACGGACCCCAAAGAGGACCCCAUCUAUGAUGAACCUGAGGGCCUGGCCC